UAUAGAAGUAGAGUGCUAUAGAAUGGAUAGCGGCGGACGGGUGAGUAACGCGUGAGUAAUCUGCCUUACACAGGGGGAUAACACAGGGAAACUUGUGCUAAUACCGCAUAACAUACCGAGAUGGCAUCAUUUUGGUAUCAAAGGAGAAGUUCGGUGAAAGAUGAACUCGCGUCCGAUUAGCUAGUUGGUGGGGUAAAAGCCUACCAAGGCGACGAUCGGUAGCCGAUCUGAGAGGUUGAUCGGCCACAUUGGGACUGAGACACGGCCCAGACUCCUACGGGAGGCAGCAGUGGGGAAUAUUGCGCAAUGGGGGAAACCCUGACGCAGCAACGCCGCGUGAAGGAUGAAGGUUUUCGGAUUGUAAACUUCUUUGAUAGGGGACGAAAAAAUGACGGUACCCUAAAAACAAGCCACGGCUAACUACGUGCCAGCAGCCGCGGUAAUACGUAGGUGGCGAGCGUUGUCCGGAAUUACUGGGUGUAAAGGGCGUGUAGGCGGGAUUGCAAGUCAGAUGUGAAAUUCCGAGGCUU
rnacentral:rRNA from 1 species